rnacentral:rRNA from 1 species
UACGAAGGGGGGCUAGCGUUGCUCGGAAUCACUGGGCGUAAAGCGCACGUAGGCGGAUUGCUAAGUCAGGGGUGAAAUCCUGGAGCUCAACUCCAGAACUGCCUUUGAUACUGGCGAUCUUGAGUCCGGGAGAGGUGAGUGGAACUGCGAGUGUAGAGGUGAAAUUCGUAGAUAUUCGCAAGAACACCAGUGGCGAAGGCGGGUCUCUGGACAGUUCCUGACACUGAGACACGAAGGCCAGGG